rnacentral:rRNA from 1 species
GACGGAGGGUGCAAGCGUUGUUCGGAAUUACUGGGCGUAAAGCGCGGGCAGGUGGCCUUUUAAGUCCUUUGUGAAAUUCCGGAGCUCAACUCCGGAUGUGCAUAGGAUACUGGAAGGCUAGAGACUGGUAGAGGCGAGCGGAAUUCCUGGUGUAGCGGUGGAAUGCGUAGAUAUCUGGAGGAAUACCGGUGGCGAAGGCGGCAUCCUGGACCGGCAUUGACGCUGAGGAGCGAAAGCUAGGGGAGCAAACGGG